GUCUUGAACACCUAUCUCAAUCACCAACACCUUCAUCCCUAAUCGAACAUCAUCAUCGUCAUCUCCAAUCAUGCCACCUUCUGCAUCAUCAGUGUUAAUGAACUCGAUGGAUUGUCUUACCAAACUAUCAAUGAUUUGCAUCAUCCAUCGAUUGAAGAAGGUAGAAAUUUCGAGACUAAACCAUUCCUACCUAGGGUUUCGAGACACAGUAACGUUCACGAGAUUGUUCUUCCGUUAGUUAUGGCUAGUUAUGUUUCUUAUCAGCAACGUCGUCGUCGUGUUAUAUGUGAAUCGUUUGGGUAUAAUUUCUGCAUAUGUAGAUUAACAUGGUGAGAGAAGUAAGGUCAACAAAACUUCAAGAAAGCACUACACAUGAAGGAACAUUUCAGAAAAAAUGGCACAUUCUACUGUUGGUUAUAAAAUGACAAAGAGUGCUUUGGGAGGUCAGUUGUAGAAGACCAUAAAAUGAUACGGAGAUUGUACUUUAGAAAGCGAAUAUUCACCGAGAAGAUGUGAUCAAGAAUUUCGUUUGAGAGAAAACGAAAUGGCUAAGUAUUUUGUUAUGGUGCUUUCUGAUGAUCUGCAAAGUAGAAGUGAUGUUACUGGAUCUUGGUUUGUUGUUCGUACUGAAGUCUAAAACUGCUAAGAUCCUACAAUGAGCAGUGUGUAGCGAUACAAAAUUUAUGACAUAUUAGCAAUAUACAUUAUGUUUUUAAAGCAGCUGACAUAUAAUUUUUGUAUGUAUCCUUGGAGUUUGUUGUCGAAGGCCCAUCAGCAGGUUCACCUGCUGUUACUCGAGUCUGGGAAUAGGUCCUUUUCGCUGCUGCACAAACACUGGAGCUGGCUACAUCAGUUAAACAAGUUGAAUUGCAGUGGGUACUUUUGGUGUCCGACUAUAUUUAGGCUACAAGCCCGACCCGGGUUUAAAUUGCGUAGCUUUGAAAUGGUUAUGUCUGGGAUUAUGAAGACCCACCACAAGGGUAUAGUGCUGAUGAGUUUGGGCCCUUGCAGCGUGCUGGGCUCAGCUAGUAAGAUGAUGUUGCAAGCCUACUAGUUAGGUGGAUGUGAUAUCUGGAAAAUGUUGGUUUUGAAGGCCCACAUAUGGGUUGUUUGGAUGCAAACUGGGCAUUGAAACAUCUCUAUUUUGCUUUCUCUGAAGUCCACUAAAAGGGAUAUAUGGGCUACUAUUGAGGAUAUAAAGGCUGAGCUUUUUCGAAGUUGUAUGGGCCCGGGCUUUAUGGUGUAUUGGAAGGCUGUUUUUGUGUUAUCUAUGCUGGCAUGGACAAAGGCUGGAGCUGGUAUACACAGCCAUGACCUCGGUUCUCUGCUGAAGGCCCAAGUCGGGUCUAUUACGCAGGCUCAAGUGGUCCAGUUUUAGGUUUAUAAAAUGCAACUUAAAGGUAUGAAGGUCAUGGCGUUGCUGAUUUAUUUGGGCCUUGGUUUUGUGACUCAGUUGAAGGCCCGUGGUUGGGUUUUACAAGCCCAAGCUUGUUUGCUUCUGCCGCAGAAGCUAAAGGCCCAUCUCUGGUUUUUCGGAUGUUCUUAGGGUCCAGUAAAAGCCUUGUUACUCGGUUUCUAAAGGCCUAAAGAAAGCGGAUAAUUUUUCAUGGCUGCUUCAGUUUGGAGUGGGUCACUAUGUGUUGUCAUCGGCAAGAAACCAUCGGCGGAAAAUACUUCUUAGGCAUGCCUCGUGUUGCUCGGAACAUUUAUAAUUUUGUAACAUUGAUAGGAUAAUAGAGUGUAUGUAUAUCACUCUAAGUCAUGUUUGGUUCUUUUGUACCCCGAGACAAGGAUGCAUGGUUUCGUAUUUGUGGUCCCCAAAGCAUGUUUUGGGGAUGAUACGGGGGAAUGCCCCCAAGAUGGUGUAAUUAUUUUUUGUGUGUUUAUAUAGUUUGCCGAGCGAUGCCCUUUAUC